CGUCGAACUACYCGACACGAACGACAAUAUUUUUAUUGAAAUAUUUGAAACUUACGAUACUGCUGGCGUGGAUUGCUAAAAGAAAUUUCAASAUCUAUAUCAGCGGAGACAUAUUAACCUUAAUAUAAAUGUCAAGACAAGUCCAAGCAAAUGUCCAUAUUCAACCCCAAGUAAUUGCAAGGAAUCAAAUUAUCCAUGGGAAURUCUAUACUGGCCGUGUUUAUUCACCUCAGGCAUACAAAAGACAAAGAAUAAUAGCAACAUGCAUCCCCCUCAUAUUUUUGAUUAUGGGUGUGGUUUGUUUAGCUCUGGGCGUCACAUUGAUGGGAGCUAUGAUGCUCGGCUUGGGUGCCUUUUUCUUGGUCUUUGCAAUUUUAAUUAUCCGCAGRUCUAGAAUGAGAGAACAGCAACAAAAUGCACAAAUGGCAGUAAUUUACAACCAAGCRUCUAUGCAACCACCUUCUCAGUUUUAUCCCUCACAACAUUAYCCAGCUCAGUUGUACCCUGCCCAGAUAUCUGCACCACCCCACCCUCCACAAACCUACAAUUUUCCAAGUUCAUUGUCAACACAAGGGGUGCAAUCUCAGCAAUUCAAUGGAGUUCAGAGCAUGCAACCUGGUCCACACAUUGAACCCCCACCGCCGUCAUAUGACGAAGCAAUGACUAGUCAAAACAAAUAAUCAUGURACUGGAUGACCCAAUUAACUUAUUCUUUUGUAAUGUGACUUUGCUAAUAAAAGUAAUUGUAUCAGGUAUUUCCACUUCCCUAAUAAAUUUGGCACAAGCCAAGUUGUCAAGCCACAAAGCAGCAAGACACCAAACAAGGUUCAGGGUCCGUGCAGAGUAUCAAAAACGAAAUUUAAGGACUUUUCAAGCACUUUUUCACRGACCAAAAUUGUAUUUUUAAGGAGCAUCAAAAUCAUGCUAAUUGUACAUGCUUGCCUCAAAACUUCAGCCGAACGGAAUAAUUCAGAGGUCGAUAGCACUUCUUCGUAGAGAUCCAUCUUUUUCAAGGACUUUUUCAAAAUUUUCAAAUUUUCAAGGAGUUUCAAGUGCCCUCGAAAACGAGUUUUCAAUUCAAGCACUUUUCAAGGAUUUAAGGACCUGCACGGACCCUGAAGGUUGUACUACCUUGAAAAGAAUGGUUAUCAGACAAAAAAAAAAGAAAAGAAAA